CUCGACCGUACCGCAAACCGACACUGGUGCGCGAGAUGAGUAUUCUAAGGCGCUUGAGAGAACUCAGGAGAAGGAACUCGGCAAAUUGACACCGUAACUUCGGAAGAAGGUGUGCCUUUAGUAGGUGAACCAUUUACUUGGGGAGCCCAAUGAGGCUGCAAAAAAUCGGUGGCUGCAACUGUUUAUUAAAAACACAGCACUCUGCUAAGACGAAAGUCGACGUAUAGGGUGUGACGCCUGCCCGGUGCUGGAAGAUUAAAUGAUGGGGUGCAAGCUCUUGAUUGAAGUCCCAGUAAACGGCGGCCGUAACAAUAACGGUCCUAAGGUAGCGAAAUUCCUUGUCGGGUAAGUUCCGACCUGCACGAAUGGCGUGAUGAUGGCCACACUGUCUCCUCCUGAGACUCAGCGAAGUUGAAAUGUUUGUGAUGAUGCAAUCUCCCCGCGGAAAGACGGAAAGACCCCAUGAACCUUUACUGUAGCUUUGUAUUGGACUUUGAACAGAUCUGUGUAGGAUAGGUGGGAGGCUUUGAAGUGUGGUCGCUAGAUCGCGUGGAGCCAACGUUGAAAUACCACCCUGGUGUGUUUGAGGUUCUAACCUAGGUCCAUUAUCUGGAUCGGGGACAGUGCAUGGUAGGCAGUUUGACUGGGGCGGUCUCCUCCCAAAGUGUAACGGAGGAGUUCGAAGGUACGCUAGGUACGGUCGGACAUCGUGCUAAUAGUGCAAUGGCAUAAGCGUGCUUAACUGCGAGACUGACAAGUCGAGCAGAUGCGAAAGCAGGACAUAGUGAUCCGGUGGUUCUGUAUGGAAGGGCCAUCGCUCAACGGAUAAAAGGUACUCUGGGGAUAACAGGCUGAUACCGCCCAAGAGUUCAUAUCGACGGCGGUGUUUGGCACCUCGAUGUCGGCUCAUCUCAUCCUGGGGCUGUAGCCGGUCCCAAGGGUAUGGCUGUUCGCCAUUUAAAGAGGUACGUGAGCUGGGUUUAAAACGUCGUGAGACAGUUUGGUCCCUAUCUUCCGUGGGCGCUGCAGAUUUGAGGAAGCCUGCUCCUAGUACGAGAGGACCGGAGUGGACGAACCUCUGGUGUAUCGGUUGUCACGCCAGUGGCAUUGCCGAGUAGCUAAGUUCGGAAGAGAUAACCGCUGAAAGCAUCUAAGCGGGAAACUCGUUUCAAGAUUAGAUCUGCCGGGGCCUUGAGCCCCCUAAAGAGUCGUUCAAGACCAGGACGUUGAUAGGUCAGGUGUGGAAGC
rnacentral:rRNA from 1 species